GUGCCAGCAGCCGCGGUAAUACGUAGGGGGCUAGCGUUAUCCGGAUUUACUGGGCGUAAAGGGYGCGUAGGUGGUUUCUUAAGUCAGGAGUGAAAGGCUACGGCUCAACCGUAGUAAGCUCUUGAAACUGGGAAACUUGAGUGCAGGAGAGGAAAGUGGAAUUCCUAGUGUAGCGGUGAAAUGCGUAGAUAUUAGGAGGAACACCAGUAGCGAAGGCGGCUUUCUGGACUGUAACUGACACUGAGGCACGAAAGCGUGGGGAGCAAACAGGAUUAGAUACCCUGGUAGUCC
rnacentral:rRNA from 1 species